AGAGUUUGAUCCUGGCUCAGAGCGAACGCUGGCGGCAGGCCUAACACAUGCAAGUCGAACGAACUCUUCGGAGUUAGUGGCGGACGGGUGAGUAACACGUGGGAACGUGCCUUUAGGUUCGGAAUAACUCAGGGAAACUUGUGCUAAUACCGAAUGUGCCCUUCGGGGGAAAGAUUUAUCGCCUUUAGAGCGGCCCGCGUCUGAUUAGCUAGUUGGUGAGGUAAAGGCUCACCAAGGCGACGAUCAGUAGCUGGUCUGAGAGGAUGAUCAGCCACAUUGGGACUGAGACACGGCCCAAACUCCUACGGGAGGCAGCAGUGGGGAAUCUUGCGCAAUGGGCGAAAGCCUGACGCAGCCAUGCCGCGUGAAUGAUGAAGGUCUUAGGAUUGUAAAAUUCUUUCACCGGGGACGAUAAUGACGUACCCGAGAAGA
rnacentral:rRNA from 1 species